ACAAAUCGUCUUAUAUUUUCUCAUCCUUAUCUUUUGUUCCUCAAACCCGGUUGCCGCCCUUCUCCUCCAAUACUGUUCAUUUGCGUUCUUAUUAAUUUUUUUUUCCGUUCUUCUAACCCUAGAACCAACCAGCGGAGGUACCUUGUCUUCUUUUCAUCCGGUAGACCGUUGGGACAGAAGGUAGUCACGAGCAGCAACAACAGCAGGCAAAUGGCGGCAAUAAGUGGCGUUGAGUGGAAGUGGGUGGCUCCGCUGCUCCCUUCCUUGCAUCCGUCUGUCAAGAAUGGUAAAUCCAGAUGAGGUUGAAAUUUCACGUGGUGGAAUUUUGGAAGUCAUCACCACUCUAUAUGCUAAAAUUUCACCGUUCUUUGAAAAAGAAACCCCUGAAGCGUCCGCGAAUAACCAUGAAGACCAACAAGUCGUCGGUUUCUUCCAAUUUUGUUGUCUUUGGAGUUUAGUUAUUUGCUUUGAAAUUGGUUUAACAAAUUUGAAGAAAUUUGUUUUGGGUUAUCUUUAAUUAACUCUAUCUAUUGGAUUUCCAUCUGAAAUUGGUACUAAGAUUAAAUUGUUUGUUUGUAUUGAUUCUCAUGAUUUCAAUUUUUUUUUGGUUCUUCAAUGAUACAGAGGUUAGCUGAUAUGAAAAUGUUAGCAUAUAUUUUUUUUGGGUUAUCUUUAAUUAGGUGUGUCAAUUGGAUUUCCAUAUGAAAUUGGUACUAAGAUUAAAUUGUUUAUUUGUAUUGAUUCUCAUGAUUUCAAUUUUUUUUUUUGUUCUUCAAGGAUACAGGAUACAGAGGUUAGCUGAUAUGAAAAGGUUAGCAUAUAUGAAUCAAACGGUAAAACUUGCAAAAAUUGGAUUGUUUAUUUCUCUUUUAAAUAAUUUGCAAAAAUAGCUCAUUGUUAUACUGUGGAGUCCAUUCAGAUCAUUGUCUGUUGAAUUGGAGGCUUUUAUACUUAUAAAGCUUUUCGUCUCAAAUAGAAUUCGCUAUUUAGAAAAUGUAGCAGCAAAACAGCUCCAGUGAGAUUUUUUUUUUAGUUUUUUCGGAUAAGAAAGUAAAAAUAAAAUUCCAUUGUAUCAUUUCAUCAAACACUUGGCUUUUAAUUUUUUUUAUAGCAGCCUAACAAUGGGAAGAAAGAUUACAAGUUUGGGUUUAGGUUCAUUGUACAUUCUUAUAAUUAUAUAUUAAAAAUGAUUUUUAAUUUUUUUUAUUGAUUUAUUUAUGUAUUUUAGAUGCUUAAUUAUUUGUCGAUUUCUAUGGAUGAUGAUACUUCGUAGGCUUUAAUACUGGCUGCACUCUCUGAUUCG
rnacentral:lncRNA from 1 species